UACGUAGGGGGCAAGCGUUGUCCGGAUUUAUUGGGCGUAAAGAGCUCGUAGGUGGUUCGGUAAGUCGGAUGUGAAAUCUCCAGGCUCAACCUGGAGGGGUCAUUCGAUACUGCCGUGACUAGAGUUCGGUAGGGGAGUAGUGGAAUUCCUGGUGGAGCGGUGAAAUGCGCAGAUAUCAGGAGGAACACCCGUAGCGAAGGCGGCACUCUGGGCCGAUACUGACACUGAGGAGCGAAAGCGUGGGGAGCGAACAGG
rnacentral:rRNA from 1 species